AUUGAACGCUGGCGGCAGGCCUAACACAUGCAAGUCGAACGGUAACAGGAAGCAGCUUGCUGCUUUGCUGACGAGUGGCGGACGGGUGAGUAAUGUCUGGGAAACUGCCCGAUGGAGGGGGAUAACUACUGGAAACGGUAGCUAAUACCGCAUAACGUCGCAAGACCAAAGAGGGGGACCUUAGGGCCUCUUGCCAUCGGAUGUGCCCAGAUGGGAUUAGCUAGUAGGUGGGGUAACGGCUCACCUAGGCGACGAUCCCUAGCUGGUCUGAGAGGAUGACCAGCCACACUGGAACUUAGACACGGUCCAGACUCCUACGGGAGGCAGCAGUGGGGAAUAUUGCACAAUGGGCGCAAGCCUGAUGCAGCCAUGCCGCGUGUAUGAAGAAGGCCUUCGGGUUGUAAAGUACUUUCAGCGGGGAGGAAGGGAGUAAAGUUAAUACCUUUGCUCAUUGACGUUACCCGCAGAAGAAGCACCGGCUAACUCCGUG
rnacentral:rRNA from 1 species